rnacentral:rRNA from 1 species
ACAAUGCGGGACUGUUAGUCUUGCAAUUGGAUUGAGAACAACGUACAACUCUUAUCGAUAAGCCAUUGGAGGGCAAGUCUGGUGCCAGCAGCCGCGGUAAUUCCAGCUCCAAUAGCGUAUAUUAACGUUGUUGCAGUUAAAAAGCUCGUAGUUGAAGUGAGGGAGUGUGUGUUCAUGAGAGCUAGUCUCGAGUGUUCACAACCUCCCCCCUCCAAUCGGUGUAGUGGGGUAUUCAGUUAUUUCACUACUCCUUUGGUCGUUUACUGUGAGAAAAUUAGAGUGUUCAAAGCGGGCGUUUGUUUGAAUAGAUUAGCAUGGAAUAAUGAUUGAAGGCUUUCGUGUUCGAUUUGAUUGGUUUGUUCAUGGAAGCAAGGUUAAAAGGAACAGUUGGGGGUAUUCAUAUUCACUAGUUA